AAUACUGAGCAAAAAUAAUAAAUCAAAAGGAAUACAGAGUUCAAAGAGAACACCAGGAACCGAAGAAAAUUCUGAAAUAAUUAUCCUCAGGUUCAUUUAUUUAACCAAUAUUUGUAGAGUGUCUUUUAAGUGUCUAUUAUAAAAGCCAGUCAAGAGAUUAAAUAAAAUGUUACAUCUAUAAAACAAGAAUAGAAUAUCAUGAAAAAAACCAAGAAAACUGAUAAAAGACAUAAAAGAAAUCUUUAAGACAUUCAGCAUCAAAAGAAUGAGUUCCAGAAAGAAAGAAAAUGAUGGAGAGCAAUAUUAAACCAGUGAAAGAGACACAGUUUUCUUAUGGAGAGGGCUCAGGGAGAGCGAAAUACAAGUGGAAAAAAAUUAUCUCCUCCAAAAUGAUAUCAUACUAUCAUAGGUAAAUCAGAACUCUUGAACUCUACCAAAGAGGGGGAAAAAAUCAAAAUCUGGAUGGACCUUUUUAAAGAGCAACACUGGGUGUUAGAAGACAAAAGAGAACCACCUUCAAAAUUCUGAGAGAGAAUAAUAUGCAACUCAGGAUUCUGUUGGCAGUCAAAGUAUUGUUCAAGUGAAGAAGAAAUAAAGACGUGGAGUGAAGAGCAGAACCCAUGGGUAUUCUUUUAUGGAAAACAAGGGCUGGAUGUGCUCAGGAAACUGAGGGAGGAAACCAAGAAAGAGAAAGACCUGGUGUCCAAGGAAUGGCUUGCAACACAGAAGAGCACAAAGGGAAGUCUCUGAGGAUGUUGUGGCAGAUUCAGGAAGUCAGCCCUCCCAGCCUGAGGAAGAAUGAAGGCUCCAAAAGGAAUCUAGAGGAAAUAAAGGGUCAUGAUAUCAAGUUAUCUGAUAUAAUGGAACAUUCCCAAAGGAAACGCUCUAGACAUAUGGUGAAUUGUUGUCUACCCUUGCAUCUCUCACUCUACAUGCUGCUUCAGAUUCUCUCUGCUUCAUCUGUGUUAUUCAAACCUCAGCCAUGGUAACCAGACGUGCACAGGAUCUGACCGGCUUCCUCUUGGUGUAAUGAGAAGGAGAAGGAGAGGAAGAGCAAAGCCAACUGUUGUCACUGAGUGGAUGCUCUGAGCUGGAAGCUUCUAUGUGCUAUCUACAUUUCCUGAUUUUUUUUAAAAUGCAAUUUCAACACAAGCCCUGCGCAGAGGAAAUACCACUCCAUUUUGCAAGGACCGGACAGUUACUCUCGUGUUCAGUAUCUGGACUUUCCGAUUCCUAUAACUCCACCAAGAAAAUCCCCUGCCUUUCCUUGGAAGGAACUGUACCUUCUGCCCUCAGAUUCAAGGCCACAUUCCUAUCUCUGGGUGGCUGUCUUCCACAUUGGUGGUAAAAUGAGGACUGUCACACUGACCCACUUCCCAGCAGGGCCGUGAGACGCAACAACUAAUUACAAAGGCUAAUAAAAUAUUUACAGAGCUUACAGCACACUUUGGAAGUGCAAGGGCUUACUUAAUAAAAAUAAUGACAGGACUAGAUAAACAGCGCUCAGAGCCUAGCGCCACUCUGGAGAAGAGUAAACAACUUGCCAGGGUAAUUUCAAGCUCUAUUAGAUGCUUGCAGCAAAUAUCACUGUU